GGGGAGAUGUUGCUGAUAUUCUCGCUUGGUUCCUAAAGACUGUUCAGUAUCUGAACUAGAGAAAACAGAGUGAAACUGAACCCAACUAUCUGACUGAUAUUGGCUCAGAACCAAGGUUUUAAUACCUCCUGCUAUACCUGAAAGAAAAACUGCAUGUACGCUUGUCAAGAUCUACCAUGUCAUCUAUCAAAAUAAAAUCUUGGUAAUGUU